UAUUCUCGUAGAAAAUCUGAUGUCAAAUUCAAGAAAUAUUACAAUUUCACGGCUUUUUCAGCGGGUCUAUAGGAGUUUAGUUACAAGCAGAACCAUUUUCUUUGUAUUCGGUGAUCACUAAAACAAUAAUGCAGCUCCAUCUUGGAUUUCUCCUAUCCGUGGUCUUGCCUUUUCUUGUCAUAGUUGCUCCAAAACCCCCGAAGUGUUAUGCAACACACUAAUCGUAUGUUCAAGCCCUUCUCAACGAAUCCUUAGUGGGCUUGUCUUAAAAUGAUCCCUACGUUAUUUGUUUUUCUAUUACUGAAAAAAAACAUAUGAUAUAAAGUAGCCACAUCUAGUCAUGGGAAUCGAAAGAGGUGACACGAUACAGUGCUUGCUUUUCCGGGGAAUCAAACAUGUAGGAAAAAUCAAAAGAUUAAAGAGAGAAAUGAUCACUUAACAGGUGCGAAUGUAGUGCAAGUGGAGUCGCUUUAAAUGUAAGAUGCACGUUUCAGAUGACUCAACGUGUCUGCCCCCUGGAAACAGCAGUCUUCGCAUACAAAAUUAAAACGUUUUUGUGGCGAAAGUAUUAAAGCAUUUCAAAACAAUUAUCGCAACAAAAGAAGCGGAACAGUAAAUCUAAGGAGACCCAUAUGAAUGUGAAAAGGUAAAAAUAAACUGUAUAAAUAGGCUGUUCUAAACGGGAACUUGACAUUCGAAUUCAGCGAUCACUAAAACCAUAAUGAAGCUCUACCUUGGAAUCGUUCUGGCCGUUGUCUUGCCGCUCCUUGUGGCUGCAAACCCCUCCAAAUCCCCGAAGGGUGAUUCGCCAACUGGAGCACCCUAAGCGGAUGUUCGACUUUCGCCUUCACAAAGCCAUUUUGGACUUGCCUUAAUCUUGCAGAUGAUUUUUGUUGAUCAAUAAAUCAGGCUUUCACAUUA
rnacentral:sRNA from 15 species